rnacentral:tRNA from 1 species
GGGGAGAUGCCUGAGUGGUUGAAAGGGCAUUCCUGGAAAGAAUGUAGGCUGCGUCAAGCGGUCUCGGGGGUUCGAAUCCCCCUCUCCCCG